CCUAAGGCUCUUUUAAGAGCCAUCAUUUUUCCUAGUAGGCAGUGG
rfam:Gorilla gorilla gorilla genomic chromosome, chr5, whole genome shotgun sequence